GAUGAACGCUGGCGGCGUGCCUAAUACAUGCAAGUCGAGCGAAUGGAUUAAGAGCUUGCUCUUAUGAAGUUAGCGGCGGACGGGUGAGUAGCACGUGGGUAACCUGCCCAUAAGACUGGGAUAACUCCGGGAAACCGGGGCUAAUACCGGAUAACAUUUUGAACCGCAUGGUUCGAAAUUGAAAGGCGUCUUCGGCUGUCACUUAUGGAUGGACCCGCGUCGCAUUAGCUAGUUGGUGAGGUAACGGCUCACCAAGGCAACGAUGCGUAGCCGACCUGAGAGGAUGAUCGGCCACACUGGGACUGAGACACGGCCCAGGCUCCUACGGGAGGCAGCAGUAGGGAAUCUUCCGCAAUGGACGAAAGUCUGACGGAGCAACGCCGCGUGAGUGAUGAAGGCUUUCGGGUCGUAAAACUCUGUUGUUAGGGAAGAACAAGUGCUAGUUGAAUAAGCUGGCACCUUGACGGUACCUAACCAGAAAGCCACGGCUAACUACGUGCCAGCCGCCGCCGUAA
rnacentral:rRNA from 1 species